rnacentral:rRNA from 1 species
CAUUAUAGAGUUUUCUAAACUCCCAACCCAUGGUGAACUUACCAUUGUUGCCUCGGCAGAAGCUGCUCGGUACCCUGGAACGGCUUACCCUGCAACGGCUGCCGGUGGACUACUAAACUCUUGUUAUUUUAUUGUAAUCUGAGCGUCUUAUUUUAAUAAGUCAAAACUUUCAACAACGGAUCUCUUGGUUCUGGCAUCGAUGAAGAACGCAGCGAAAUGCGAUAAGUAAUGUGAAUUGCAGAAUUCAGUGAAUCAUCGAAUCUUUGAACGCACAUUGCGCCCAUUAGUAUUCUAGUGGGCAUGCCUGUUCGAGCGUCAUUUCAACCCUUAAGCCUAGCUUAGUGUUGGGAGCCUACUGCUUUUACUAGCUGUAGCUCCUGAAAUACAACGGCGGAUCUGCGAUAUCCUCUGAGCGUAGUAAUUUUUAUCUCGCUUUUGACUGGAGUUGCAGCGUCUUUAGCCGCUAAACCCCCCAAUUUUUAAUGGUUGACCUCGG